CUAUUACUCCUUCCGUCCCAAAAUAAGUGACUCAAGUUUGUACUAACUUUGUACAAACUUGAGUCACUUAUUUUGGGACGGAGGGAGUAUAAU
rnacentral:pre_miRNA from 1 species